rnacentral:rRNA from 1 species
GACGAACGCUGGCGGCGUGCUUAACACAUGCAAGUCGAACGGAAAGGCUCCAGCUUGCUGGAGUACUCGAGUGGCGAACGGGUGAGUAACACGUGGGUAAUCUGCCCUGCACUCUGGGAUAAGCCUGGGAAACUGGGUCUAAUACUGGAUAUGACCUUUCUCCUUAUGGGGUUUGGUGGAAAGUUUUUCGGUGUAGGAUGAGCCCGCGGCCUAUCAGCUUGUUGGUGGGGUGAUGGCCUACCAAGGCGACGUCGGGUAGCCGGCCUGAGAGGGUGAUCGGCCACAUUGGGACUGAGAUACGGCCCAGACUCCUACGGGAGGCAGCAGUGGGGAAUAUUGCACAAUGGGCGGAAGCCUGAUGCAGCGACGCCGCGUGAGGGAUGACGGCCUUCGGGUUGUAAACCUCUUUCAGCAGGGACGAAGCGUAAGUGACGGUACCUGCAGAAGAAGCACCGGCUAACUAUGUG